UGGUGUGUUGCUAAAGCUUAUAUCUUGUUUCUUUUACUUCUGGUUAGAGAAAUUUUCUUCUCUAGGCCUUCAGGACCUAUGUUUGGGAUUGCUUCAGCCCAGAUGCUAAUAAAACACUUCAGAAAAGCAUACAAAAGGAAGAGGAUUCAACAUAUCUCUAUAUUUAAGAGGAAAAAUGUAUGACCUGUUCAGUAGUGAUUCCUCUCAAGCAUCAGCAAAAUAUGGACCAGAAGG